UUUAACUGAAGAGUUUGAUCAUGGCUCAGAUUGAACGCUGGCGGCAGGCUUAACACAUGCAAGUCGAGCGGGGGAAGGUAGCUUGCUACUGGACCUAGCGGCG
rnacentral:rRNA from 1 species